UACGGAGGGUGCGAGCGUUGUCCGGAAUCACUGGGCGUAAAGGGCGCGUAGGCGGCCUGAUAAGUAGGGGGUGAAAUCCUGCGGCUUAACCGCAGGGCUGCCUUCUAAACUGUCAGGCUGGAGCACAGUAGAGGCAGGUGGAAUUCCCGGUGUAGCGGUGGAAUGCGUAGAGAUCGGGAAGAACACCAGUGGCGAAGGCGGCCUGCUGGGCUGUUGCUGACGCUGAGGCGCGACAGCGUGGGGAGCAAACAGG
rnacentral:rRNA from 1 species